AGGGUUCCCCCAAGGAUUUUUGGGGUGGCCCAGGUGGAGUUCAGAAUCCCAGUGAAUCCUCGGGUACCCCCAACAGAUUUUUGGGGGGCUCCAGAGGGAUUCGGGGCUGUCCACAGCAGAUUCCAGGGAGGUUUUGGGGCGCUCCAGGUGGAUUUGGAGGUGCCAAGGUGAAUCCCCUGUGGAUUCUGAGCUGCUCCAGGUGAAUUUUGAGGCACCCAGGUGGAUUCCAAACUCCUUCUAUAAAUUCUGAGCUGCUCCCAACAGAUUUUUGAGGUGCUCCUGGUGCAUUUUGAAGCACCUCAAAUGGAUUUUGGGGUGCUCCAGGUGGAUUCUGAGCUGCUCCCAACAGAUUUUGGGGUUCCAGGUGGAUUUUAAGGCACCCCCAGGAAACGCUGCUCUCUCCGGGCUCCACUCUGGGAUCAUCCAGGUGUAUCCACAGCAGCUCCAUGGCAGGUUUUGGGUGUCCCUGGCAGAUUUUACAGUGCCCCCAGCAGAAUUUGGGGUGCCCCCGGCAGAUUUUGGAGUAUUCCUGCCAGAUUUUGGGGUAUUCCUGCCAGAUUUUGGGGUAUUCCUGGUGUAUUUUGGGGUGUCCCUGGCAGGUUUUGGUGUGUCCCUGGCAGGAUUUGAGAUGUCCCCGACAGGUUUGGGGUGCCCCCAGCAGAUUUUGGAGUAUUCCUGGCAGAUUUGGGGGUAUUCCUGGCAGAUUUUGGGG